rnacentral:misc_RNA from 1 species
AAAAUAGAAAAUAAGAAAAAAAAAUAACCUUAAGCCUUGAAUUGAAGAAAAUAACCAAGAAAACAAGAAAAUUUAGAGCAUGGAGCAGCCAAGAAUUUCGGCCAUGGUGGAUUCAAGAAGGUGAAGUAAGUUUUUGUUGAUGAAAAAGGUGAUUAGAGGCUAAGGGAAGUAAGAAACUAAGGUUAGUGCUAGUAAACUCAAG